UACAGAGGUCUCAAGCGUUGUUCGGAUUCAUUGGGCGUAAAGGGUGCGUAGGUGGUGAUGCAAGUCUGGUGUGAAAUCUCGGAGCUCAACUCCGAAAUUGCACCGGAUACUGCGUGACUCGAGGACUGUAGAGGAGAUCGGAAUUCACGGUGUAGCAGUGAAAUGCGUAGAUAUCGUGAGGAAGACCAGUUGCGAAGGCGGAUCUCUGGGCAGUUUCUGACACUGAGGCACGAAGGCCAGGGGAGCAAACGGG
rnacentral:rRNA from 1 species